CUCUAAUAUGAUAUAUUAUAUAUACUUAUAAUUUAUGAAGCAAUAAUUUUUUAUGAAUAUCUAAUCUAAAAACAAGAUAUUUAAAUUAAUUUACUUUCAAGAAUAUCACUUUAAUUCUAAUAUUCUUUUCUUUCUAUUUAAAAUCAAAUUGUGUGCUCUUGUUCAUCUAUUAAAUUGUCUAUUUGUCUGAAACCACACACAAGUUACCCUGCCUCUUUCAAUCUGUAAUUUUUUUACUUCUAUAAAAAAUUCUCAAAAUUAUCUUCCAUCUUUUAGCAACCUUAAAUUAUAUAUUCUAAAUCAUUGUUCAGUUAAUUACAGCAUAACAAAUCACAUCACAAACCAAUGCAUAAAAUCAUGAAAUAAUUUAUCAUUUUUUAUUCAUAGAACAAUUUAUUUUUUAUAUUCACUUUAUAUCACUAAACUUUACUAAUGUCUUUUUAUUUUGGAGAAAUGUAAUUACUGUUCGUAAAAUGUUGGGCUCAAUGUGGGUCAUUAUUAUUGCUCUUGGUACGAUUAUAAGUAAUAUAAAUAUCAACAUUAUUUUACUUCUAUUCAUAUCACUAUUACUUAUUGUUUUUGUUUAAUAUUAAAUUUAAUAUUUAUCAAUAUUAUUGUUACUAUUAUUAUUGUUAUUAUUAUAUUAAUAUAAAUAUAAUUGUUAACAUUACUUACCUCGUUAUAAUUGUUUUAAUAUUGUUAUUGCUAUUAUUAUAAAAUUUGGAUUUUACUUAAGAUUAGUAUUAGUACUAUUUCUAAAUAUCCAUGUUUUUGUUGCAUACAUACACAUAUAUGACAUAUAUGUGUGUGUUUUCUUUUAAAUAAUUGCAAGUUUCCAAAUACAUGCAAAGUAAAAUUGUUGGCGACAUAGCUCAGCAAGAAUGAAGACAUUGAUACACUUUUGCAUUAUGGAAUACACAAGUUGGCAGUUCCUCACCCAUUGCCACCCAAAUACAGAUAGUAAAGUUAAACACUUAAUAAAGUACUUGCUGCAAUUACUUUCAAAAGACUAAAACUGGACAUAUUGUUUUAGAAAAAGCUGUAUAAAAAAUCCUUAUCUGUACGUAACAGACGAUGGAGACGAAGUGAUUAUUAUGUGUGGCAAAAGAUUAUUUUAUGAAGUUUUUCAUUUUCUGACUUUGUGAUGGAACUUAUUGGAGUACACUUUUCUUGAACAUAGGAGGAGUAUUGCCGCUACAAGCAUGAACAAUAAUAAAACAUUCCAAAGAUUAGUUUGUUAUUUCAACGAUUAUAUUUGUUGUUUAAAUGUAUAAAUGCUUUUUGUAUAUUCUUAUUAUAUAUCAUCCUAAUUUCAUAA
rnacentral:lncRNA from 1 species